rnacentral:tRNA from 2 species
GGGUUGGUAGCUCAGUGGUAGAGCAGCGGCCUUUUAAGCCGUUGGUCGUGGGUUCGAAUCCCACCCGACCCACCA